rnacentral:hammerhead_ribozyme from 1 species
ACCUAGCUACUGAGUCCAAAUAGGACGAAACGUGCGUCCUGGAU